rnacentral:rRNA from 1 species
GACGAACGCUGGCGGCGUGCUUAACACAUGCAAGUCGAACGGGUCUGCCCUGUUUUUUGCGGGGUGGGUCAGUGGCGAACGGGUGAGUAACACGUGAGUAACCUGCCCCUCACUUCUGGAUAACCGCUUGAAAGGGUGGCUAAUACGGGGUGUUCUGGCUGUGCCGCAUGGUGUGGCUGGGAAAGAUUCACUUUUGUGGUGUUUUGGUGGGGGAUGGGCUCGCGGCCUAUCAGCUUGUUGUGGGGGUGUUGGCCUGCCAAGGCUAUGACGGGUAGCCGGCCUGGGAGGGUGGGCGGUCACACUGGGACUGAGAGACGGCCCAGACUCCUGCGGGAGGCAGCAGUGGGGGGUAUUGCACAAUGGGCGGAAGCCUGAUGCAGCGACGUCGCGUGAGGGAUGGAGGCCUUCGGGUUGUGAACCUCUUUCGCCGGUGAAGAAGGUCCUGCUCUUUGUGGUGGGGUUGACGGUAGCCGGGUUAUGAAGCGCCGGCUAACUACGUG